CCUGAAGAAGCCGAAGCCACCACGCCCAUUAGGCCACGCCCACUUGACGGUCCCUUACCUGUGCACACUAGGUGAAGGGGCCAGAGAUCUUCAGCGACACCCGCGAAGGGUCACGGGCCUCUGCCCGUGGCCCAUAGUAGCCAGAGUUAUUAUCUCUCACACGUGUUCUACACGAUUCCUAGACUUUCGUUCCAUAGCCAGUUACCAUGCCGAAACAUGCAGACUUUAACAAUAAACUGAGUUAAAAGCAAUCCCGGAUUUUGAACCUUUCCUUGAAGAAAUACGUAAUAAUUUGGUGAUCCUGACGUUCUUGGAAAAGUUCUACCGAGACUCUAACCACGCGGUCGUCGAGAUGCAAUACAAGCUGGAUGCAGGCGCCAUUGAAAGACGUCCGCCAUCGUGGGUCUUGCAGAGACCAAGAGCAGCGGGGAGCCCAACUACAGUGUUACAUUCUCUCUCUCUCUCUCUCUCUCUCUCUCUCUCUCUCUCUCUCUCUCUCGCUCUCUCCAUCCCUCGCUCCCUCUUCCUCGCUCUUCCUCUUCCUCUUCCUCUCUCGCUCUCUCCCUCUUCCUCUCUCUCGCUCUCUCUCUCUCUUCUGCAAAUAGGUAGGGACUGCAAUGGUAAGUCUGGUAACUCCAGGAAAUGGCAGUAUAAGAACGAAUGCCAAACACUGACAGUAAUUAUUUUUUUCAGGUUGCUAAGCCCUUCUGUCUAUUCAACAUGCGUUUUGUGUAGCAAGACAGGUAGAGAACCAGGCUGGUUCAAAUAAAUCUAGCAGUUCAACUGCUAGAAUAAUAUGUCUAAUUAAUAAAUGGUGCACAUGGUUUUAAACGGUGCCCAAGGAGGGAGUUGGCUCAACUGCUGUAGACACAAUUACAAUACGUUUUUUGCGAAUAUUAAAUCUACAUGGGUUAAAUUCUGCUAUAAUCAGCUACUACAUACGAAUAAACACUGCGUGAAAUGUUCAAAGGUUAACUAUUGCUUCCAUUGGAGCGAUUGCAAUAGAUAUAAUAUCGUACCACCAAUAUGCAUGCAUUAUCUUGUAUUCAACAAUUAGGAAAGCCCGAUUCCAGAACCGAAAGAAGUUCUACAAAAGGGCACCAACCCAGGGGUCUUGCAUCAACCAGAUCCCUGUACGGCAGUUACACAGUGAUCUUAAAAUAUAAAUAAUUAUCUCCACAUCAUGAACAGUUAGCCUUUAAAGUUGUCCAUAGCAUGCAUACCGCUCGUCCACAGAAGUCCGGGGUUUAUCGAGGCCUGGGGAUUCUUAUUAGAAGAGUUCUGGGAUAACCUCCAAUAGAGGGGUCCCCCCCCAAUAGAGGAUCCUGAGGACAAGCGGUAGAAAUGCAUAGUUCAACAGACCUGACGAGGUCCAAAAUACCAAAAUAAGAAAGAAUAAAAUAUAUAUUUCAUUGCAAACUAUGAAAAUAAUAAAAGUCUUCACGUAAUCUAUGGUUAAUAAUUGGCAAUAUUUACAAUUAAAUUACAUACGUAAUAAAAAGUAAUCCAUAAUUCAUCAUAAUUUUGAUUAACAAUAUACGUGU
ensembl:lncRNA